rnacentral:rRNA from 1 species
GAUGAACGCUGGCGGCGUGCCUAAUACAUGCAAGUCGAGCGAACAGACGAGGAGCUUGCUCCUCUGACGUUAGCGGCGGACGGGUGAGUAACACGUGGAUAACCUACCUAUAAGACUGGGAUAACUUCGGGAAACCGGAGCUAAUACCGGAUAAUAUAUUGAACCGCAUGGUUCAAUAGUGAAAGACGGUUUUGCUGUCACUUAUAGAUGGAUCCGCGCCGCAUUAGCUAGUUGGUAAGGUAACGGCUUACCAAGGCAACGAUGCGUAGCCGACCUGAGAGGGUGGUCGGCCACACUGGAACUGAGACACGGUCCAGACUCCUAAGGGAGGCAGCAGUAGGGAAUCUUCCGCAAUGGGCGAAAGCUUGACGGAGCAACGCCGCGUGAGUGAUGAAGGUCUUCGGAUCGUAAAACUCUGUUAUUAGGGAAGAACAAAUGUGUAAGUAACUAUGCACGUCUUGACGGUACCUAAUCAGAAAGCCACGGCUAACUACGUG